CCUACGGGGGGCAGCAGUGGGGAAUAUUUGGCAAUGGAGGCAACUCUGACCCAGCAACGCCGCGUGAAUGAUGAAGGUCUUCGGAUUGUAAAGUUCUGUGAUGGGGGAUGAACACAAUGACGGUACCCCAAUAGCAAGCCACGGCUAACUACGUGCCAGCAGCCGCGGUAAUACGUAGGUGGCAAGCGUUAUCCGGGAUGACUGGGCGUAAAGGGUGCGUAGGUGGUUUAGUAAGUUGCCGGUGUAAUUCCGGGGCUCAACCUCGGCGCUACCGCCAAAACUAUUAGACUAGAGUGCAGGAGGGGUAAGUGGAAUUCGUAGUGUAGCGGUGGAAUGCGUAGAUAUUAGGAGGAACAUCAGGGGCGAAGGCAGUUCACUGGACUGCAACUGACACUGAGGCUCGAAAGUGUGGGUAUCAAACAGGAUUAGAUACCCUAGUAGUC
rnacentral:rRNA from 1 species